GGCGCGCUGGGAUUGCUGUUUGGGCCCGGCAAGGCCUGCAUUUUUUUUUUCGUUUCUCGUUUUACUUAGCCAGGUUUUUUUCGAUCCUUCCGUUUCAUUUCUUUUAUUAUGCUUUAUUUUUUUUCUGCCUUUUGCUUAUUUUUAGGUUAUUAUUUUUCUUCUUCUUUUUUCAUUACCUAGGUUGGUUUUCCAAAUACUCAUGAACAUUUGUUUAAUG
rnacentral:lncRNA from 1 species